rnacentral:rRNA from 1 species
CCUACGGGUGGCAGCAGUCGAGAAUCAUUCACAAUGGGGGAAACCCUGAUGGUGCGACGCCGCGUGGGGGAAUGAAGGUCUUCGGAUUGUAAACCCCUGUCAUGUGGGAGCAAAUUAAAAAGAUAGUACCACAAGAGGAAGAGACGGCUAACUCUGUGCGAGCAGCCGCGGUAAUACAGAGGUCUCAAGCGUUGUUCGGAAGCACUGGGCGUAAAGCGUGCGUAGGCUGUUUUGUAAGUCGUGUGUGAAAGGCGCGGGCUCAACCCGCGGACGGCACAUGAUACUGCGAGACUAGAGUAGUGGAGGGGGAACCGGAAUGCUCGGUGUAGCAGUGAAAUGCGUAGAUAUCGAGAAGAACACUCGUGGCGAAGGCGGGUUCCUGGACAUUAACUGACGCUGAGGCACGAAGGCCAGGGGAGCGAAAGGGAUUAGAUACCCGGGUAGUC